rnacentral:rRNA from 1 species
CAGUAGCCACGGGAACACCAGCACCUCGAGUGGUCAGGAGGUUUAUUGGGCCUAAAGCAUCCGUAGCCGGUUGCAUAAGUUUUCGGUUAAAUCUAUGCGCUUAACGUAUAGGCCGCCGAAAAUACUGUGCAGCUAGGGAGUGGGAGAGGUACACGGUACUCGAUAGGAAGGGGUAAAAUCCUUUGAUCUAUUGAUGACCACCUGUGGCGAAGGCGGUGUACCAGAACACGUUCGACGGUGAGGGAUGAAAGCUGGGGGAGCAAACCGGAUUAGAUACCCCCGUAGUCCCUGUCUCUUAUAC